rnacentral:lncRNA from 1 species
AUUUCGGAGCACAUGAGACCAUCUUUGGUGCCCCAAGAUUUCACUCUAUAAAGUAGCUAGCUUCCUUGAAUGUGCUUCAAUCAAAUAAAACUAGAAUUAGUCAAAUUCAAUCAUGAAUUCAAGAAAUGGAUGACAAAGGUGAGCAGCAAUUCUGCACCUUCUUAAAUUUCAUAAUAUUUGGAUCAGCUUUGGGAUUGAUAACACAAUCCAGAAUCUAAACCAGUCUCAAUUGAUUGGAUCAGGUAAAUCAGAUCGUGGGAUUGUUUUUCCCAUUGAUUUUCCUUUUCCUUUCUUUUAGAUGGUCGGAUUUUUGCCAAAUCUUUUCAGCAAGCUGUUGGGAGUUGGUGGAAAAUUGGCCAAGAUUGGUGCAGAACAGAAUGAGUCAUUCUGGCUUCCAGUACCUAGCCUGAUACACAAAAUCAAUCAGAAAUUAGACAGAACCAACUCAGGAUUAGCUGGUUUCAGGUUAUCAUGAUUGUUUGGAAAUGAAAUUAGUCUGACCCAAUCAGGAUCGAUCGAGUCGAACAGAAAUAAUCUGUCUUGUUAAUCCAUGAAUGGGGACAGGGCAUUUGCAAAUAGAUAGUGCAAUUUAUUGGUGCCUUGAAGUAAUCUGCAUGACAUUAU